GUGAAGAUUGUAUGUGAAAAAAUGUGGCUGGUGGGAGUUCAAGUGGAAAACCCAGCCAAUCGCAUGCCCAUUAAGGAUUUCAUGUAUCUUGGCAUCAUAUCCUCUCUAUCCGAAAUUUAUUUAUUGAAAUAGGAGUUUGUUUAUUCAUUGCCAUCUCGCAUAAUAAUUCCUAAUUCAUAAAUGUGGCAAACUUUUGAGCAUCUGCAACGGUCGAGGAGAAAAAAAUACAUGUCUUGUCCCGCCGAGACAGGAUGCGGGGAAGACGGCGAGACGCGUUUCAAGUGUCUUCACUCAAAUAUGAUUACCGAUUUUUUCUUUUUCGGAGCAACAUAGUAAAGGGUAUUACGAGAAGUUGAGAACCUUACUGCUCCUCCUCUUGCAUAAAGAAGUCGCCGCUACAUCCAUCGUGGACAGAAAGAAGCCGCCCAAAUUAGGCUCAUUCGAGAUUAUUUUUUCGAGCAACCACAAUGGGGAGAUGAAUACUUUCGAGUAUAUUUCAGCAUGUGCCGAGAAUGAUUUUUGCUCAUCGUAAAUACGUUGGCGGCCAGUAACGAGAAUUUAAUAUAUUAAGAUACCAUAGAGUGGACAAAUUUCUCGGUGGAAGAUUGAAAAUGGUCAACCUUGGUUGCUCGUGCUCUUGUCGUGGAAUCCUUGAUUUUCUUUAGUUUUUCUCUCUAAAGUUUAGUGUCUCUAAAUCUCUAAUAAUGAUCUUGGGAGUCUUUUUAUAAUUGAGAGAUUGAGUGAAUUUUAGCUUGAAUUUGCAUUUUUUUUUUGGGCAUAAAAUCUCACCCAUUUAGUGGUCAAUUGAGUUUGCAGUGUCAAACCCAUUGGUCCUUUGGCUUUGCUCUGUAGGAUACGACAUGCCUAGCGAAUCGCUUACUUGGUUUUGGACAUAUUCUUGAUUUCUCA